UAUUGGUGAAUUGAUGCCCGAUCAAUUGAGAUGAUGGAUUCAAUUGAGGACAAAAUUGAGAUUUCGCCUCCUUAUUGGAUGGACAGAGUUGCUGAGAAUUCAUUUACGCCGCUCACCGUGUCUCUUCUUCUUCGAAGCUAUUUUCUCUCUUUCUUCUCUGGUUCCUUCUCCCUUGCUCCUCCUUUAAUUAAACAUUAAACAACAGUGCAAGACAAAUCAGAGGUCAUACAUUGGUCUUCUUCUUGCAGGUUAAAGGGUUUUUGUCAAAAUUUUCUUUGACUACUCACUUUUCAUGACUGGUUGCAACCAUUGUCGGUAGUAAAACAUUUGCCAAAGAAGAAGUCCCAAAUAUUAGAUUUUUUGUACAGGCUAGAAGCGGUAAGUAAAUUGCCAUUUUUCUUAGAAAUACUAAAUUAUGCAUUUAUUCUUGGCUACUUGUUCGUCUUUAUGAAAUCAUUCAACUUUUUGAAAUCAAUUGAAGGAAUAACUGGAAGAUGCUAUUGAUGCUUAGUGUAUG